GAAUAUUGGACAAUGGGGGCAACCCUGAUCCAGCCAUGCCGCGUGUGUGAAGAAGGCCUUCGGGUUGUAAAGCACUUUCAGUGGCGAAGAAAAGCUUGGGGCUAAUACCCUCGGGUCUUGACGUUCACCACAGAAGAAGCACCGGCUACCUCCGUGCCAGCAGCCGCGGUAAUACGGAGGGUGCGAACGUUAAUCGGAAUUACUGGGGGUAAAGCGCGCGUAGGCGGUCCGGCAAGUGGGAUGUGAAAGCCCUGGGCUUAACCUGGGAACUGCAUUCCAAACUAUCGGGCUAGAGUAUGGUAGAGGGAGGUGGAAUUUCCUGUGUAGCGGUGAAAUGCGUAGAUAUAGGAAGGAACACCAGUGGCGAAGGCGGCCUCCUGGACCAAUACUGACGCUGAGGUGCGAAAGCGUGGGGAGCAAACAGGA
rnacentral:rRNA from 1 species